rnacentral:rRNA from 1 species
ACGCACGCUGGCGGCGUGCUUAACACAUGCAAGUCGCACGGAAAGGCCCUGCUUUUGUGGGGUGCUCGAGUGGCGAACGGGUGAGUAACACGUGAGUAACCUGCCCUUGACUUUGGGAUAACUUCAGGAAACUGGGGCUAAUACCGGAUAGGAGCUCCUGCUGCAUCGUGGGGGUUGGAAAGUUUCGGCGGUUGGGGAUGGACUCGCGGCUUAUCAGCUUGUUGGUGGGGUAGUGGCUUACCAAGGCUUUGACGGGUAGCCGGCCUGAGAGGGUGACCGGCCACAUUGGGACUGAGAUACGGCCCAGACUCCUACGGGAGGCAGCAGUGGGGAAUAUUGCACAGUGGGCGGAAGCCUGAUGCAGCAACGCCGCGUGCGGGAUGACGGCCUUCGGGUUGUAAACCGCUUUCGCCUGUGACGAAGCGUGAGUGACGGUAAUGGGUAAAGAAGCACCGGCUAACUACGUG